GACGAACGCUGGCGGCGUGCUUAAUGAAUGCGAGUCGAGCGAGAACCGGACUGAGGAAACCUUCGGGUGGAAUCAGUCUGGGGAGAGCGGCAAACGGGUGAGUAACACGUGGGUAGCCUGCCCCUCAGACGGGGAUAAUUCGCCGAAAGGCGGACUAAUACCCGAUGGUGAUGUGCCAACACAUGUUGAUACAUCUAAAGGCUCCGGUGCUGAGGGAGGGGUCCGCGGCCGAUUAGCUUGUUGGUAGGGUAACGGCCUACCAAGGCUUCGAUCGGUAGCCGGUCUGAGAGGAUGACCGGUCACACUGGGACUGAGACAUGGUCCAGACUCCUACGGGAGUUAGCAUCAGGGAAUCUUGCGCAAUGGGCGAAAGCCUGACGCAGCGACGCCGCGUGGGUGAUGAAGGCCUGCGGGUCGUAAAGCCCUGUCGGGAGGGAAGAAACAGCACCUUCGGGUGCUUUGACUGUACCUCCGGAGGAAGCCCCGGCUAAUUACGUGCCAGCAGCCGCGGUAAUACGUAAGGGGCCAGCGUUGUCCGGAAUUACUGGGCGUAAAGAGCACGUAGGCGGUUAGGAAAGCGAUAGGUGAAAUCCCCCGGCUCAACCGAGGAACUGCUUAUCGAACUGCCUGACUAGAGCACGGGAGAGGGCACUGGAAUUCCUGGUGUAGCGGUGGAAUGCGUAUAUAUCAGGAGGAACACCGGUGGCGAAGGCUGGUGCCUGGAACGUUGCUGACGCUAAGGUGCGAAAGCCAGGGGAACAAACGGGAUUAGAUACCCCGGUAGUCCUGGCCGUAAACGAUGGACACUAGGUGUUGGAGGUUCGACCCCUUCAGUGCUGUUAAGCUAACGCGUUAAGUGUCCCGCCUGGGGAGUACGGUCGCAAGGCUGAAACUCAAAGGAAUUGACGGGGGCCCGCACGAGCGGUGGAGCAUGUGGGUCAAUGGGAUGAUACGCCGAGAACCUUACCAGGGCUUGACAUGACCCUGAUCCCCUGCGAAAGCAGGUCUUCUGGGCAACCAGACAGGGCCACAGGUGGUGCAUGGUUGUCGACAGCUCGUGUCGUGAGAUGUUGGGUUAAGUCCCGCAACGAGCGCAACCCUCGCCGGAUGUUGCCAGCGGUUAGGCCGGGCACUCUUCCGGGACUGCCGGAGUAAUCCGGAGGAAGGGGGGGAUGACGUCAAAUCUGCAUGCCCCUUAUGUCCUGGGCUGCACACGUGCUACAAUGGCGAGUACAAAGGGUCGCGAAGCCGCGAGGCCCAGCUAAUCCCCAAAAACUCGUCCCAGUUCGGAUUGGAGUCUGCAACUCGACUCCAUGAAGUCGGAAUCGCUAGUAACCGUGGAUCAGCAAUGCCGCGGUGAAUACGUUCCCGGGCCUUGUACACACCGCCCGUCAAGUCGCGGAAGCCGACAGCACCCCAAGUCCGCUACGGCGGCCCAAGGUGAGGUCAGUGACUGGG
rnacentral:rRNA from 1 species